rnacentral:rRNA from 1 species
AGUGAACGCUGGCGGUAGGCCUAACACAUGCAAGUCGAACGGCAGCACAGUAAGAGCUUGCUCUUACGGGUGGCGAGUGGCGGACGGGUGAGGAAUACAUCGGAAUCUACUUUUUCGUGGGGGAUAACGUAGGGAAACUCACGCUAAUACCGCAUACGGCCUACGGGUGAAAGCAGGGGAUCUUCGGACCUUGCGCGAUUGAAUGAGCCGAUGUCGGAUUAGCUAGUUGGCGGGGUAAAGGCCCACCAAGGCGACGAUCCGUAGCUGGUCUGAGAGGAUGAUCAGCCACACUGGGACUGAGACACGGUCCAGACUCCUACGGGAGGCAGCAGUGGGGAAUAUUGGACAAUGGGCGCAAGCCUGAUCCAGCCAUACCGCGUGGGUGAAGAAGGCCUUCGGGUUGUAAAGCCCUUUUGUUGGGAAAGAAAAGCAGCAGGUUAAUACCCCGCUGUUCUGACGGUACCCAAAGAAUAAGCACCGGCUAACUUCGUG